rfam:Picea glauca, whole genome shotgun sequence.
AUGUACAUUCCUAUAACUUAGUGUUAAGGCACCAGAUCCCAUUAGAACUUUGUAGUUAAGCGCGCUCGGGCUAGAGUAGUACUGAGAUGGGUGACCACUCGGGAUGUCCUAGUAUUUUACAUG